rnacentral:misc_RNA from 1 species
AAGUCGUAACAAGGUCUCCGUUGGUGAACCAGCGGAGGGAUCAUUACUGAUUUGCUUAAUUGCACCACAUGUGUUUUUUAUUGAACAAAUUUCUUUGGUGGCGGGAGCAAUCCUACCGCCAGAGGUUAUAACUAAACCAAACUUUUUAUUUACAGUCAAACUUGAUUUAUUAUUACAAUAGUCAAAACUUUCAACAACGGAUCUCUUGGUUCUC